UACGUAGGGCGCAAGCGUGUCCGGAAUUAUUGGGCGUAAAGAGCUCGUAGGCGGCUUGUCACGUCGGGUGUGAAAACUCGGGGCUCAACCCCGAGACGCCAUCCGAUACUGCUGUGGCUUGAGUCUGGUAGGGGAGCACGGAAUUCCUGGUGUAGCGGUGAAAUGCGCAGAUAUCAGGAGGAACACCGGUGGCGAAGGCGGUGCUCUGGGCCAGUACUGACGCUGAGGAGCGAAAGCGUGGGUAGCAAACAGG
rnacentral:rRNA from 1 species